rnacentral:misc_RNA from 1 species
UUUCCGUAGGCGAACCUGCGGAAGGAUCAUUAUUGUAUAACCGAGGUGCGAGGGCUGUCGCUGACCCGAAAGGUCGUGCACGCCCGUGUGCCCUCACACACAUCCAUCUCACCCCUAUGUGCACCACCGCGUGGGUCCCCCUUUGGCUUGUUCGGAGGGGGGCUUACGUUUUCACACAAACUUUGUAUGCAGUGUAGAAUGUAUUUUUUGUUUUUGCGAUCACGCAAUCAAUACAACUUUCAACAACGGAUCUCUUGGCUCUC